UACGAAGGGGGCUAGCGUUGCUCGGAAUUACUGGGCGUAAAGGGCGCGUAGGCGGGUCGUUUAGUUAGAGGUGAAAGCCCAGGGCUCAACCCUGGAAUUGCCUUUAAUACUGGCGGCCUUGAGUAUGGCAGAGGUGUGUGGAACUCCGAGUGUAGAGGUGAAAUUCGUAGAUAUUCGGAAGAACACCAGUGGCGAAGGCGACACACUGGGCCAUUACUGACGCUGAGGCGCGAAAAGCGUGGGGAGCAAACAGG
rnacentral:rRNA from 1 species